GUUACACAGCUGGUCUGAACCUUACUGUCACCGUCCUGUCUCCGGAACAGGAAGGAGGGUAGCGUCUUCUCCAGCAUAGAGGACUGCCCAGGUCAGAGUUGGAGAGUCAGCUGACCUAGCCACUGGUCAAGAGCCCUCCAGGCUCAGGGCUCCUGGCUGCACUUGAGUGGUUCUGAGUCCUCCCCUCCUGCUGCUAGCCUGCCAGUUAAAGAAUCUAAGACCUGGCAGCCUAAGCCACCGUCCUCCCCUCUGCUCCAGGCCUCCACUUCUGCAGCCCGGGCUGGGAGGCCUUCCAGGGUGCCUGCUACAAGCACUUUUCCACACGAAGGAGUUGGGAGGAGGCAGAAAGCCAGUGCCGAGCGCUAGGGGCUCAUCUGACCAGCAUCUGCACCCCUGAGGAGCAGGACUUUGUCAACGAUCGAUACAGGGAGUACCAGUGGAUUGGGCUCAAUGACAGGACCAUCGAGGGUGACUUCCUGUGGUCAGAUGGUGCCCCUCUGGUGAGGACUGUCACUGCACUGUAGGCUAGAUCACUUCUUGGAAGCCUUUCUGACCUCAAUAACAGUCACUCUCUCUUCCUUCCUUCCUGGUCACUUUGUUCCCCUCUUCCCCCUGGACCCUUUUUUUCCGUGUGCCUCUCUUCUCUGGCUC
rnacentral:lncRNA from 1 species